rnacentral:rRNA from 1 species
UGAGCAAUCUGCCCUUCACAUCGGAAUAACCAUUGGAAACGAUGGCUAAUACCGAAUAUGACUUCGGAUCGCAUGAUCUGAAGUGGAAAGCUCCGGCGGUGAAGGAUGAGCUCGCGGCCUAUCAGCUAGUUGGUGUGGGUAAUGGCCCACCAAGGCGACGACGGGUAGCCGGCCUGAGAGAGUGACCGGCCACACUGGGACUGAGACACGGCCCAGACUCCG